CUUUGUUCAUCAGUUUUUCUUUUAGCUCUUGCACUUCAGAUUUUGUUUCAUUUAAUUUUGCCUCCCAUUCGGCCUCCCUCUGAGUCAAUUCAGAUUUUGUGCGUUCCACUAGCUCGUAAGCACUUCUUAUCUGCAAGGUGCUCUGUAUGUAUUCUUCCUGAUACUUUCUCUCGGAAGCCUCUAAAGCAGCUCUUAGUUCACUUAACUCAGCUUUUAGUUCAUCAGCUUCCACAAUUACGCCGUUUCCUUUUGCAGCUACAGAACUUUCUGAAGACUGGAGUUUGCUGACAAGUUCCUCCAAAGAAGCCACUCGAUCCUUUGAUUUUUCCAACUCCAAAGACAAGGUUAUGCAGGCGUCCAUCGCUUUCAGACCUUCAGAACGUAGAGUAUCCUCGGUCAUCUUCAUCGUAAGCACUUCUUAUCUGCAAGGUGCUCUGUAUGUAUUCUUCCUGAUACUUUCUCUCGGAAGCCUCUAAAGCAGCUCUUAAUUCACUUACCUCAGCUUUUAGUUCAUCAGCUUCCACAAUUACGCCGUUUCCUUU
rnacentral:lncRNA from 1 species